ensembl:lncRNA
CGGCUCUGAUAACCUGUGGAAACCAGCAGACACAGUGUGAGUAGUGAGCCCGAAAAAGAGGAAGGCCCAGAGCAGCCAUCAGCCGUCUUCAUUUCCCUGCAGUCAGCCCCUUGGUAUCACUGAUAACAAUGACAGGAGAAUCUCUCCGCCAGCACUGCCAGAUUGCAGCCUGCCAAGCUCCUCUGUCCAUGGGAUUCUCCAGGCAAGAAAAGUGGAGUGGGUUGCCAUUUCUUCCUCGAGGGGAUCUUCCCAACCCCAGAUUUCCACAAUCAGGCCUAAUGGUGACAAAGCUAUUGGGAAAGUCAGUUUUCAAGAAGUUGAAAGCCAAGACUAAGGUGUCUGCUGAACAGGUCAGAGGUGACAUGACAUGGCAAGUAAGGGAAGAGUUUUUGUGAGGCUCACAUGAGAUAGUGGAAGCAAAAUGGUUUUGAGAAUUAUCCAUGAUAUGAGGAAUACUGGCAAGAGGAGGAGUAAGAAAUGCAGAGCCAGAAUGAGGACUCUGCUGGGUCCAGGUCCAUUGUCUCUUCUAACAAAGACCUAAGGGAUCAGAAAAACAGCAAAAUGGCUGUCUGGGGAGGCCUUACAAAUAGCUGUGAAAAAAAGAGAAGCGAAAAGCAAAGGAGAAAAGGAAAGAUAUAAACAUCUGAAUGCAGAGUUCCAAAGAAUAGCAAGAAGAGAUAAGAAAGCCUUCUUCAGCGAUCAAUGCAAAGA